GGGCCGGUGGCCCAGCAUGGUUAAGGCGCCCGACUAAAAACCGGGAGAUCGCCGGUUCGAAUCCGGCCCGGCCCA
rnacentral:tRNA from 1 species